GGCCCCCUGGACAGAUACUGACACUCAGAUGCGAAAGCGUGGGGAGCAAACAGGAUUAGAUACCCUGGUAGUCCACGCCGUAAACGAUGUCUACUUGGAGGUUGUGGCCUUGAGCCGUGGCUUUCGGAGCUAACGCGUUAAGUAGACCGCCUGGGGAGUACGGUCGCAAGAUUAAAACUCAAAUGAAUUGACGGGGGCCCGCACAAGCGGUGGAGCAUGUGGUUUAAUUCGAUGCAACGCGAAGAACCUUACCUACUCUUGACAUCCAGAGAACUUUCCAGAGAUGGAUUGGUGCCUUCGGGAACUCUGAGACAGGUGCUGCAUGGCUGUCGUCAGCUCGUGUUGUGAAAUGUUGGGUUAAGUCCCGCAACGAGCGCAACCCUUAUCCUUGUUUGCCAGCGAGUAAUGUCGGGAACUCCAGGGAGACUGCCGGUGAUAAACCGGAGGAAGGUGGGGACGACGUCAAGUCAUCAUGGCCCUUACGAGUAGGGCUACACACGUGCUACAAUGGCGCAUACAGAGGGCGGCCAACUUGCGAAAGUGAGCGAAUCCCAAAAAGUGCGUCGUAGUCCGGAUUGGAGUCUGCAACUCGACUCCAUGAAGUCGGAAUCGCUAGUAAUCGUGGAUCAGAAUGCCACGGUGAAUACGUUCCCGGGCCUUGUACACACCGCCCGUCACACCAUGGGAGUGGGCUGCAAAAGAAGUAGGUAGUUUAACCUUCGGGGGGACGCUUACCACUUUGUGGUUCAUGACUGGGGUGAAGUCGUAACAAGGUAGCGCUAGGGGAACCUGGCGCUGGAUCACCUCCUUAAACGAUGAU
rnacentral:rRNA from 1 species